rnacentral:ncRNA from 1 species
AAAAAGUUUUAUUUUAGUUUAAAUAAUAAGUAUAUAGUUUUUUUACAUGUAAAUUUUAGUAAAGUUUAAUUUAUUUUUAAAAGGAGUAAUAAUUUUAAAUGAUUCGCAGUAUUUAGUUUUAAAUAUUAAGGAUACUUAGAUUUAGAAAUUUAUAAUAAUAUUAACAUAAUUUGUGCCAGCAGUUGCGGUUAUACAAAUAAUAUAAUUUAUUAUUAUUAAUUUAUAAUUAAUAUUAAUUUAUUUUAAAAUAAAUUAUGGUUUAUUAGGUGAAAUUUUAAAUUAUAAUAAAUUUUUAUGUAAAUUGUUGAAGUUAUUAAAUUUUAUAUAAAACUAGGAUUAGAUACCCUAUUAUAAAAAUGUAAAUUAAUAAAGUUUAAUUAUUAAAAGUUAUAAUCUUAAAAGUUAAAAAAUUUGGCGGUAUUUUAAUCUAUUCAGAGGAACCUGUCCUAUAAUUGAUAAUCCACGAUUAAAAUUACUUGUUUUAAUAAUUUGUAUAUCGUCGUAGUUGAGUAUUUUAUUAGAAUAAUAAUAUUCAUAAUUUUAUUAAAAAAUAAAUCAGAUCAAGAUGCAGUUUAUAAAUAAGAAGAGAUGGGUUACAAAAAUUUUAAUUUUGGAAUAUUUUUUGAGAAAAAAUAUGAAAUUGGAUUUGAAAGUAAUUAAGUUUUUAUAGAUUUAAUGAUUUUAGCUCUAAAAUAUGCACAUAUCGCCCGUCGCUCUCAUUUAAAUUGAGAUAAGUCGUAACAUAGUAAAUGUACUGGAAAGUGUAUUUAGGUUG